rnacentral:misc_RNA from 1 species
UCGCCUGCAGAUAUCGUUGUUGUUCGUUGUCCGUUGUUCGGCGAAUGCAUUCUCGUUGCUCUGCAUAGCACGCUUUCCCUGCCGUUUGUCUGAUCCGGAAUCACUUCUCGUUUUAACAUUAUUAUCGGAGCGCGCACAAGGUGGUGGGCGGGCGGAGAGGGGGACCAACACACGCAACACUAUCAAAAAAGGAAGACACACGGGAAAAAAAAAAACGGAAGCUCUGUUGUACCGUUCACGCCACCGACUCACCCCUCUUUCCGCAGCCCUCAUCUCCCUUCGAUGCGUCAAAGUAGGCGUGGUCACUCCUCCCUCCCUCCAGCCCAUCCCUUCUUUUCGUUGUUGUUGUGCGCACGCCGUCCCUUCCUAAUACCGCUCACUCACUUUCUUUCUUGCAUCGAUCUCGGAAAGGCACGACUACUGGAGUACGUGCUGCUCAGUGAGGUGCAGGUGUGUGUGUGUGUGUGCGUGUGUGUGUGCGUGUGUCAAAGUAUAUUUGUCGCUUCCUUCUUUAUUUUUUUCUGUUUCGCGCCUAGGUUAGUGACUUCGUUUUCGCUCCCACUCCCUUGGCACACCCUUCCGCAGACACGCGCGCGGACUCUGUCUCUCGAGCUGUGCGAGUGUGUGCGCGUUUUGCUUUGUUUCUGUUUUUGUUUUUCAUUUCUACGCUCCCCGUGAUUGUGCUUUACAGAAACCGUCACGCUAAUUCUCGACUUGACGUCUCUUGCUCCCCUUCCCUCCCUCUGCCGCCUUUACACUCCCUCCUUGAUUUCGUGUGGUGGUGGUGGUGGUCAUCGUUCUUCGUGUGUGGCGAUCUCGGGUAUCUGCGCUCGCGCGGUACUCGUUUGUGCACACGUUCGCACGAGGAAAGAGGACAGACAAAGACGGGAGUCUUUUCGUUAUCUAUGAUGCUGUUGCUGCUUUCGUUUUUCUCUCGUGUUCUCCUCUACGUUGCCUGCUCGCCUACCUGGCCCACAGUCACACCGAGCGCUCUCCCACCCCGCCCCACCCCUGGAUCAAAAAAAAAACGCAGACAGAGCGUCAACUCUAGUCGCUGCUCCGUGAAACUGCCUGUGUAGGUGCGUGGGUGUGUUCGCUGUGCUUGUGAGGAAGUCUCUCUGGCCUUCACCACGGUAGGUAGGGCGGCAUCAGCACCAUCUGCUUCUCUCUGUUGUUUUUUCUUCUGCUGCUUCUGGUAUUCGACUCUCUUGGCUCGCAUGUGCCUUCCGGUUUCUUUUGGCUGCCUCUCUCCCUCUCCCUCUCUCGUAGGCGUGCGCAACGGACCAAGACGUGUACACACGCUCACGUACGCACGCAAGUGCAAAUUCGGUGCGUCCGUGGUUGUGGCUGAGGUACACCUUGACGACCACCUAUCGUGUACGACUGCGAACGAAAACGCACGUUGUGGAUGGGGCGCAGGAGGGUGACGGCCCGUUUCGAAUAAGACGACGCCAGGAGGCGGCAAAGGAAGCAAACAAAAUCCGAAAAUAAAAAGGAACGACCAGCUCCACGUACGACGGUGCCACCUUCCGAAAAGACAUCGAGUAGCUUCCUCUGCGUAACUCUCUCAACGAGCAAGAUUAGAACACGCGCACACACAUACAUAUAUGCAUGCACACCUGCAUAUAUAAGUCUAUUAGUAGCAGUCUUUCUUGUUCUGGUCGGAGAAAGAGGGGGGGUGUUGCCAAGUCAAUUUCUCUGCCUGUGUGUUGUGUCCGUGUGUUCGUGUGCGUUCCACGCCUCUGUGCCCCUGUGCGUCUGCCGACUUCUUUUUUUUUUGUAUUGCGUGCUACCCAAGAGCGGCAUACCGGCACAGGCUGGCUGCAGCGCCUCUCCCCCCUCCUCUCGUGGCCUGCGUCGCCUGGCGGUUGCGUCGCUCUGCUUGGCGUUGAUUCUUGCCAGCAAGCUCCCCUCCCCCUCCCCGCAAGCCCGUGGGUUCUCCUAUUGUGCAACCCACUCGUUGCGCAACACCUCUUUAUUUGUGGUCUUCGUCUUCCGUCCAACACUUGAUUCGGGUCAUGGUCUCUACGGGACCGAAGAAGCCCUCCUCUCCGACGCUCUCGAAGCUGACGCUCAAGUCGACGGCGCCGCAGCCAACCCUCACCUCACUGCAGAAUGUGAACAGCAACAGCACAAUGGAGGUGACAGACGCGAUCAGCGUGUCGUCAGGAGCCACCAUCACCGUCGCCACUGGUGCAUCGGCCAGCAGCUGCUCACCGUAUUUCUCCCCCUACGCAGCAGGUUUUGGCAGUGUGGGCGCGCCGCAUGAUGUAGACCCCGAUGACCUCGUCGCCGCGCUCGCAUCCCCGGCGCGUGACCAAGGCGACCUCUCGCCUUCUGAGUCAAUGAUGGGCGGGUCCCGUGUGGCGGAGCGACCUCCCGUCCCUCCCGCCCGGGCCUUGUCGAAGCGCAAGUAUCCGAAACUGCUCACUCAGCUCGCACGUGAGUUCCGCUGGAUGCACAAGAACUUGCGUCAUGGGCACAACAGUAAUGUCACGCCUCGUGUUAGCUGCAUCUACGGUGCAUCGCCGAGCCUCAGUAGUCUGUCCUCUAGCUCCACGUGCAUCGGCGAAGACAGCGAGGACCUGCUCUGCACGACCACCUUGCGCAGCUCGAUGCGGCGCUCCUCCUCUCCGAAAAGCUCGAUGAUGUGCCACGGCGGCAGCAGCCCCACUCACUGUACACGUGGUGCAGCAAGCAGCACAAAACUAUGCAGGCGCACGCCGGAGAGCGGUGAGGUGGAGCAGGUGCAGCCUGCCGCGUUGCCAAAGGUAACGCCUGACCCAUACGCGCCGCCUUCGUGCCAGUACGUGGUGCGGGACCUCGCAUUUAUGGUUCCGGGGGACGACGCAUUUGACAGUGCCCGAAACGGCAGCUCCGCUAGCUCCGUAAUGCGCGCGGCGUCCGGCGGUAGGGUUGACAGGGCUGUGGCCGUUUUGGGGACUACCUACAUGGCCGAGUCCGCCUUCUCGCUCGGCGAGGGCGGCAGUAUGGAGGGCCCCUACCGGGGCUACGGUGACUCGCCGAGCGCGGUUGAUUUUGGCAGGGACGACACCAGCGAUGUGGAGGAAGUGAGCAAUAUCGCCGCCGGCCCCUCAGACCGACGAGGCCUCAAGGUAGACGGCGCUGGUUCACCAUCGGACAUCCACGAGGAUGCGCAGGCUGGCGGCGAUGCGGCAGCUAGCGGCGACUCGUACCAGGUAUUUUUCAACAGCGUCGUCGACCUGAAAUGUCGGCUGCACAACCUGGAGCAGCAGACGGCGAGCCUGCGCGCACUCUAUGCGCAGGAGCAGCGGGCACGUCUGCGCUUCAAGGGCAAAGGUCAGCAUCUGAGUUGGACCCGCACCGUCGAGGCUGCCAACACGAUCCACUUCUGGCGCCAGAAAGUGAGUAUUUCGCGUCUCUUUGAGUCGCAGUAUUUGAGUGUGCUGAAGUCCUUCCAGCGAGAACUGCAGCUCGUCGAUCCGAAAGCGGAGAAGGCACAACAACUCAGGCGCUCGCCGGCAAGCGCCGCUGCAAAGCCUGGCUCCACGGCAGGCGUCAUGCAAGCCCGCCGCGCAUUUCUUUCCUCGUUGCAGGUGAUUGCAGUGCAGGAGCAGCAUCUGAAGAAGCUUGGUGACCAGAUGGAGGCGUGCUGGAAGGCAAACGCUGUGUUGCGAGAGGAUCUGCGCCACUUCGAGCAGCGGGAAGUGCGCGUGCCACACGAAACCUUCGCUACGGCAGGCAUGGAUGUCGAGCACUUUAUCGCUUCACUGCCACCGCGGGCAUCGGUCUGCGGCCUCCACAGCGUCCUCUCGCACACCUCUGUGCACUCUCUGGAGAGCCUCGAAAGCGCAGAGACGCCGAUGCUACUGACAGCUCAGAACCUCUCCUUCACGUCGAGUGGCGACGACGGUGAUGACAACGUCGUCAACGCGGCAAGCACAGACAGCAGAGCUACCGGUGCGUACGGCUGCGGAAGCAAUGGAAGCUCACACAGCGGCCACCACCCCACGCCCCCCUCCCCGUGCGGCGCCGACGCCUCGCCCGUGAUGCCAAAGAGGCUGAAGUACGUCAUCCGCUCCGUCGCGCUCGACCAUGAAGAGCGCGGGGGUGACAACUCCAGCAGCCGCAUCGCGCCGUCCUACAUCGGCUCCUCGACGCCGACCACCAACUCGCAAACGCGACGACGCAGCGAGCGCCAUGUGACGUUCGCGCUGGAGCCGGAGGUGCUUGACGCGCGCCCUCGUUUCAGCGCCCACAGCCGCACCGUAGAGCUGCUAGAGCAGAUUUGUUUGGACAAGCAGUCGCCGUGGAAUGCGUUGUCGCUGCUGCAGAGUGCUCUGGAAGAGCGUCUUGGUCAGCUGGCGCAGCUGCGCAUGCAGUGGGAUGGAGCCGUAACAGGCGAAGCGCCGACCCUCACGCCAAGGGUCACGCCGCAGCCGUGCACGAUUGCCACCUCCAGCAGCGGCGGCGCCGUGUGCCACUCACGCGAUAAAGCCACGGUGCCGUCACCGAAGUCGUUUCCAUCGGCCACCACAUCAACGUUGAUGACGAAAGGGAAAAGCAGUCGAUACAGCAAGGUGAAGCCGAAGGCGUGUACGACGUGCUCCGCUAUGUGAGCCGUGGAAAUCUGCAGCGUUUGCAGCACACUCGACAGAACACUGCAAAGGACGGCGCCAAGCUUGUGCUGGGUUUCCGUAUCGGAUGGAAGAAGCAGAUGCGUGCAGCAGAGGAGGUGAUGUUCUGUUGUUUUAAUUCGCGUACCUCGCUCCUUAGCCCUCGUCUUGAAGGACGGGGCAGGAGAGGGAGGGGGUCGACGUACCUGCACGCCACGUUUUGUCUGCAGCUGUGUGUGCCUCUGUGCGUUGUGUGUUUGUGUGUGUGAGAGGGAGGGUGAUGUGGCGCACGAUCGCCCUCGCUCUCUCUCUCUCGCCUGAUGUCUCUCCUCCUACUCCUCCUUUCAUCGCCACGCAUUACAGUGACGCGCGCAUGCGGGUCAGGACGAAUUGAAAAUGAGCAGGGAGCUAAAGACUCUGGCGUACAUGUACGGGUGCGACUAAAAAGGGGGGCGUGCAUCGGCGCGGCACGAGAGACUGGUCAUAUCCUUGAGUGUAGGCGGGUGCGUCGUUCUCGUUUACAGUGUUGGACUUUUUCACUCCUAUCCCUCCACACCCCAGCACCACUUCGCAUUACAGAAGCGUACCGUGACCGCUAGCCGCGUCUCUUAGGUUCCCCUCCAUCAUUCCUUUUCACUCAGGGCCCCUGUAUUUGUUAUUAUGGUCUGAUGCGCCCCUUAUUUAUAUGUGUGUUGAAUUGUCAGCACAGCGCCAGCCCAGACCUGCCCGCCGACGCCAAGAGCCCACAGCCGUGGCCGGAAGCUGCUCUUUGUUUUCAUAGCUGCCAUCGCAGGAAAGGCGCCCCCUAAUGACGCGGGGAACACCCCGGCGUGGUAUGUGUCAGGGCCCUGUGCACCCCGCACUCUCUGUGGAGAAGCCGAGCCGCCGCCGUCCCCCUAUCCCUGCCAAUGCCGAGCCACCGCACCUGGCCCCGACAGGGUCCAGCGCCUGCGACACGGGGAGGCCAGUGUGAUGCAUCGCUACGGAUGCCGGCGGUCAGGUCCUGGAUGGCGCUGCGUGAGAGCCACCGGCAACAGUGGAGAUGUUUGCACCAUGGGUAUGCUCGGCAGAGUGUCAGCGUGGCUCGAGCGUGUGUCACUCGGCGCAACGGGAGCGGCUGUGAGGCUGCCUGCGGAGCGGGGGUGGGGUGGGUGGGGAGACAGGAGCCGUGCUCAGAUGGACGAGUCGGCGCAUCGCUGUAACGCGCGUCUACCGCUGCUUCACGCCACGUGAUGGGUGGCCUGUGACGGGCCUGGGGUGUAGAGUGGCAUUCAGCUCAUGCUGUGCGGUAGAGAACGAACGCGCUGAGAAGGAAGAAGCGCUGACUUGAUGUCCUCUGCGUCGGUGCUUCAUCUCUGUGCCCGGAGCGCAACAGAGAUGGUGGGCUCUUCGUCUUGUUUGUUUUUCCGUGUUUUUUCUAUGGUCGCAUUGGCGUCGGUGCCGUCAGCUGGAACAUGGCAAAACGGUGACGCUUGUCGCCACACUCACGUUUUCCUCUUUCUUCGGUUGCCGUUGUUGCCUCUGCCAAUGUGCUCUACACUGUCUUCCCGCGCCUCGUAACCGGUGCUGUUGCCGCGUACGUGCUUCUAGCUUGUUACGCCUUGCGUUGUGCCUAUGUUGUGGUUGUUCUGUUUUUUUGUUGUUUUGUUUUUUGUCUGUGUUCCUUUCGCAUGUUUAGGGUCUCCCUCACCCUACUGGACUCCUCCCUCUCCUCUUCUUUUCCACGGUUCCCGUUCUGCGUGGCCGUUGCGAUCAUGGCAUGCGCACUGGACACAUGCCGACAUCUCUCCUCGUCGUUCGUGCCCCUGGCCCGUGCCUCGGCCCAUGUAUCUUGUGCAAGCAUGUGCAAUGAUGUGCACUGCGCGACUGCCGCUUCUUCAUCGAUUGCUAUUACUUUUUGUCCCCAUCUCAUAUUGCUCGUCAUCAUAGGUGUUUUUAUUGUUUUUGCUCUGUCUCCCCCACCCCCACCCCAAACGAGGGAAGGCUUGCGUGCGUGUUUGUGCAGGAGUCGUCGUCUUACACUCUGGAAGGCGGCAAGGGGAAUGCGGGUGUGCCCUGGCGAUGGUGUAGGUGUAGCAUGAAUGUGUGUGUGUGUGUGUGUGUGUGUGUGUGUGUGUGUGUUUGUGUUUGUGUUUGUGUGUAUGCAUCUGUGUUACUGAUGGUGCGUGAACAUGAUUGUGCGACUCAACAAGCUCAACUGAUCCUCUUUGUUAUGCGCUGUUUCUCUUCUGUCUUCGCUUCUUAGCCCACCACCCCACCCCCAAAGCCCACCCCUUCAGCACAGACGCAUCUGUCGCAGUUUUCAGCUGCAUCGUUGCUGAUUUACGUGUUCGACACUGCGCGUCUCUGUCUUAAAAGCAGCCGCCGUUUCUGACGCUGUCGUCGUUGUGGUUGUGGUGUAUUACUUGUUUGCUCUUCAUCUCUGUUUCUCUUGUGCUCGAUAAUGUUGAGGAUCAUGGCGUGUGUGCGGGCGCCCUUUCCAACUUCUUUUCUCGACUCCUCCUCCCCUCCCCUACCCUACCCCCCCCCUCACGCACACACACACUUCCGCUGUUUUAUUUUUUCGCAUGCUGUCAUCCCCUCAUAAAAUUAUUAG